AACACAUGCAAGUCGAACGAGCGAGAGAGAGUUUACUUUUUCGAGCGAGUGGCGAACGGGUGAGUAACGCGUGAGGAACCUGCCUCAAAGAGGGGGACAACAGUUGGAAACGACUGCUAAUACCGCAUAAGCCCACGACCCGGCAUCGGGUAGAGGGAAAAGGAGCAAUCCGCUUUGAGAUGGCCUCGCGUCCGAUUAGCUAGUUGGUGAGGUAAUGGCCCACCAAGGCGACGAUCGGUAGCCGGACUGAGAGGUUGAACGGCCACAUUGGGACUGAGACACGGCCCAGACUCCUACGGGAGGCAGCAGUGGGGAAUAUUGCACAAUGGGGGAAACCCUGAUGCAGCGACGCCGCGUGGAGGAAGAAGGUCUUCGGAUUGUAAACUCCUGUUGUUGAGGAAGAUAAUGACGGUACUCAACAAGGAAGUGACGGCUAACUACGUGCCAGCAGCCGCGGUAAAACGUAGGUCACAAGCGUUGUCCGGAAUUACUGGGUGUAAAGGGAGCGCAGGCGGGAAGACAAGUUGGAAGUGAAAUCCAUGGGCUCAACCCAUGAACUGCUUUCAAAACUGUUUUUCUUGAGUAGUGCAGAGGUAGGCGGAAUUCCCGGUGUAGCGGUGGAAUGCGUAGAUAUCGGGAGGAACACCAGUGGCGAAGGCGGCCUACUGGGCACCAACUGACGCUGAGGCUCGAAAGUGUGGGUAGCAAACAGG
rnacentral:rRNA from 1 species